rnacentral:rRNA from 1 species
GUCUGGGAAACUGCCUGAUGGAGGGGGAUAACUACUGGAAACGGUAGCUAAUACCGCAAAUGUCGCAAGACCAAAGAGGGGGACCUUCGGGCCUCUUGCCAUCAGAUGUGCCCAGAUGGGAUUAGCUAGUAGGUGGGGUAAUGGCUCACCUAGGCGACGAUCCCUAGCUGGUCUGAGAGGAUGACCAGCCACACUGGAACUGAGACACGGUCCAGACUCCUACGGGAGGCAGCAGUGGGGAAUAUUGCACAAUGGGCGCAAGCCUGAUGCAGCCAUGCCGCGUGUAUAAAGAAGGCCUUCGGGUUGUAAAGUACUUUCAGCGAGGAGGAAGGCAUUAAGGUUAAUAACCUUGGUGAUUGACGUUACUCGCAGAAGAAGCACCGGCUAACUCCGUGCCAGCAGCCGCGGUAAUACGGAGGGUGCAAGCGUUAAUCGGAAUUACUGGGCGUAAAGCGCACGCAGGCGGUCUGUCAAGUCGGAUGUGAAAUCCCCGGGCUCAACCUGGGAACUGCAUUCGAAACUGGCAGGCUAGAGUCUUGUAGAGGGGGGUAGAAUUCCAGGUGUAGCGGUGAAAUGCGUAGAGAUCUGGAGGAAUACCGGUGGCGAAGGCGGCCCCCUGGACAAAGACUGACGCUCAGGUGCGAAAGCGUGGGGAGCAAACAGGAUUAGAUACCCUGGUAGUCCACGCCGUAAACGAUGUCGACUUGGAGGCUGUUCCCUUGAGGAGUGGCUUCCGGAGCUAACGCGUUAAGUCGACCGCCUGGGGAGUACGGCCGCAAGGUUAAAACUCAAAUGAAUUGACGGGGGCCCGCACAAGCGGUGGAGCAUGUGGUUUAAUUCGAUGCAACGCGAAGAACCUUACCUACUCUUGACAUCCACGGAACUUAGCAGAGAUGCUUUGGUGCCUUCGGGAACCGUGAGACAGGUGCUGCAUGGCUGUCGUCAGCUCGUGUUGUGAAAUGUUGGGGUUAAGUCCCGCAACGAGCGCAACCCUUAUCCUUUGUUGCCAGCGGUUCCGGCCGGGAACUCAAAGGAGACUGCCAGUGAUAAACUGGGAGGAAGGUGGGGGAUGACGUCAAGUCAUCAUGGGCCCUUACGAAUAAGGGCU